UCUGUUUUUGCGGUCACCAUCUGUGAGUGAGUUUUUGUUUUUUAUUAAAUUGUUUUUCACCUACCGUCAUGCUGCCUGCUAGUCUGCAUUCUGGGUUCGUCCGUUGUUCACGUCCUGACUAAAUCUGCUAGGGGAGGUCUGACCCACAAGCCUGUUGAAAGACUUCAAAGCAGAAGAGCAUAGAUUAAUUUCAAAACUGAACUCUUGAAGAAGAAUAUCUGGUCAUAAUUUCUUGACAUUAAGCUUGAACACCAGGAAGAUGAACAGAAGCACACCAAUGGCCAAAAAAAAAACAACAACUAAAAAACAAGAUGAAGGUUUUAGAGGGCCCAG